rnacentral:rRNA from 1 species
UACGUAGGGUGCGAGCGUUAUUCGGAAUUAUUGGGCGUAAAGGGCGCGUAGGCGGCUUUGUAAGUCAAAGGUGAAAUCCCUCGGCUCACCCGAGGACCUGCAUUCCAAACUGCCGAGCUUGAGUAUGGGAGAGGAUGAGGGAAUUCCUGGUGUAGCGGUGAAAUUCGUAGAUAUUGGGUGGAACACCGGUGGCGAAGGCGGCCCACUGGUCCGGUUCUGACGCUGAGGCGCGAAAGCGUGGGGAGUAAACAGG